UACGUAGGGACCAAGCGUUGUCCGGAAUCAUUGGGCGUAAAGCGCGCGUAGGCGGCCCGGUAAGUCCGUUGUAAAAGUCGAAGGCUCAACCUUCGAAAGCCGAUGGAUACUGCCGGGCUAGAGUACGGAAGAGGCGAGUAGAAUUCCUGGUGUAGCGGUGGAAUGCGCAGAUAUCAGGAGGAACACCAAUUGCGAAGGCAGCUCGCUGGGACGUAACUGACGCUGAGACGCGAAAGCGUGGGGAGCAAACAGG
rnacentral:rRNA from 1 species